GACGAACGCUGGCGGCGUGCUUAACACAUGCAAGUCGAACGGAAAGGCCCCUUUGGGGGUACUCGAGUGGCGAACGGGUGAGUAACACGUGAGUAACCUGCCCUUGACUUCGGGAUAACUUCAGGAAACUGGGGCUAAUACCGGAUAGGAAUCCUUGCUGCAUGGUGGGGGUUGGAAAGCUUCGGCGGUUUUGGAUGGACUCGCGGCUUAUCAGCUUGUUGGUGGGGUAGUGGCUUACCAAGGCUUUGACGGGUAGCCGGCCUGAGAGGGCGACCGGCCACAAUGGGACUGGGAUACGGCCCAGACUCCUACGGGAGGCAGCAGUGGGGAAUAUUGCACAAUGGGCGGAAGCCUGAUGCAGCAACGCCGCGUGCGGGAUGACGGCCUUCGGGUUGUAAACCGCUUUCAGCAGGGGCGAAGCUUGUGGUGACGGUACCUGCAGAAGAAGCACCGGCUAACUACGUG
rnacentral:rRNA from 1 species